AUCUUGGGAUCUUUCAUCUGUGUGGUGAUGGGCGUUCAUGUCACUGCAUGAAAUGUGCUCCCCCCCCCCUUGUUAUCACAUUGACACAGGACCCUUUUGAUA